GACCUCAAAUCAGGUAGGACUACCCGCUGAACUUAAGCAUAUCAAUAAGCGGAGGAAAAGAAACUAACAAGGAUUCCCCUAGUAACUGCGAGUGAAGAGGGAAAAGCUCAAAUUUAAAAUCUGUCAGUCUUUGGCUGACCGAGUUGUAAAUUAGAGAAGUGCUAUCUGCGCUGGCCUGUGCAAAAGUCUCUUGGAAAAGAGCAUCAUAGAGGGUGACAAUCCCGUCUUUGGUACAGAGCUCCAGGGCUUCAUGAUGUGCUCUCAAUGAGUCGAGUUGUUUGGGAAUGCAGCUCUAAAUGGGUGGUAAAUUCCAUCUAAAGCUAAAUAUUGGCGAGAAACCGAUAGCGCACAAGUACCGUGAGGGAAAGAUGAAAAGAACUUUGAAAAGAGAGUUAAACAGUACGUGAAAUUGUUGAAAGGGAAACGC
rnacentral:rRNA from 1 species